rnacentral:rRNA from 1 species
AUUGAACGCUGGCGGCAUGCCUUACACAUGCAAGUCGAACGGCAGCACGGGAGCAAUCCUGGUGGCGAGUGGCGAACGGGUGAGUAAUAUAUCGGAGCGUGCCCAGUCGUGGGGGAUAACGUAGCGAAAGCUACGCUAAUACCGCAUACGAUCUAUGGAUGAAAGCGGGGGAUCGCAAGACCUCGCGCGAUUGGAGCGGCCGAUAUCAGAUUAGGUAGUUGGUGAGGUAAAGGCUCACCAAGCCGACGAUCUGUAGCUGGUCUGAGAGGACGACCAGCCACACUGGGACUGAGACACGGCCCAGACUCCUACGGGAGGCAGCAGUGGGGGAAUUUUUGGACAAUGGGCGCAAGCCUGAUCCAGCAAUGCCGCGUGCAGGAUGAAGGCCU